CUCUGUCAUACCAGAGAGCUCAGCAUCUGAAAAUGAAACAGUUACUGAAUUCUCUGGGACAGCUGCUAUAUCUACAACUUCCCACACAGAGGCCACAACUUCAACAGAAGGCCGCAGCAUUCCUCCGUCUGGAUCCAGCCCAGUAGGUACCACUCCAGCAUCAGGAGGCCAAGCAACUGGGAGCCUGACAGCCACCACUGGGGUAGCUCCUGGCAUGACUGUUGCACCUGGCAGUUCCAACACAGAAGCCACAACUUCUGUAGGAGAAAAUGGAAAAACAAGAGCUCAAAUAAUCACAGGUGAGCUCAGCUAAGGAACUAAGUGUACUUUGUAAUACCUU
rnacentral:lncRNA from 1 species